GGGGUCGACCGGGCGGGCAUGGGACGCGGUGGGGUCUCUGGGCCGCAAGGACCACUCCUUGCACCCUAGAGUUCGAGCUUGGCAGUCCAGGGUGCAUCCCGGCAGCGUCCCUUAGCUGCCCUUCGGUGACCUCCUGGCCUGUUUCCCCAUUUCCAAAAUGAGGAUAGCCAGGAUCGUUCAGGGAGCUUAGAGCAGUGUCUGGCGUACGGUGAGCCUAUGACAAAUGCCUCUUGAUUACAUUAGCUAUUAAUGAGUUUUUCUGGAGAAAUCAUUCUCCAGAUUCAACUUAAUUUCCAGAAUUUAUUUACCGAGUAUUGCAACUGAACCUUUUCCACGUUUUCCCAUUUGCAUUGUAUUUUUCUUGUUUUCUUACGAACUAUUUCAAAUAUACAGAGAAAUGUAUAGAGGAUAAUCUGAAACAACUAUGUACUUACCACCUAGAUUUAACCCAUUUUAACCUUUAGUCUUUUUUUUUUUUUUUUUUUUUUUUUAAGUUUAUUUAGUUUGAGAGACAGAACAGAGCGAGCAGGGGAGGAGCAGAGGAAGAGAGAGGGAGAGAGAAUUCCAAGCAGGCUCUGCACUCUGAGCGUGGAGCCCAACCUGGGGCUCAGACCCACCAAUGUGGGAUCAUGACCUAAGCUGAAAUCAAGAGUCCAAUGCUUAAAGGACUGUGCCACACAGGCGCCCCAAACUUUUGGUCAUUUUUGCUGCAGAUCGUGUGAAACAUACAUGCAAAGACUUAUGUAUAUGCAUAUGCAUACAUCAUUUAUAGAUGUAUUCAUUGCAUUUUUUGAAGCCCUUCUCAGAGAUAACCACUAUUAUAAAAUGGAUCUGUAGUAUUCCUUUCAUGUUUUUAUUUACUUCCUGUGUGACUACCCAUAAGCAAUAUACAAUUUUGUUAAUGUGUUUCUAAAAAAGAAAUAAUGCUGUUCUGUCUAGGUAAUUAAAUGCUAUUUAUUAUAUAUGCACCGAUGGCUUUAUUUACACAACAUUGCUUUUGACACAUGUAAAUCUAGCUCAUUCCUUUCAACUUGUUAAGUGAAUAUACCACAAUUUGUUUACCUGUUUUCCUGUUGACAGACCUUUAGGUUAUUUCCAACUUUUUACUCUCACAAACAGUGUUAUAAAAUAGUGUCAAACUUCACUGUGUAUAUGAAUCACCUAAAGAUCUUGUUAAAGUGCUGAUUCUGGGGCACCUGGCUGGCUGAUUCAGUAGAGUAUGUGACUCUUGAUCUCGGGAUUGUGAGUUCAAGCCCCAUGUUGGGUGUAGAGAUUACUUAAAAAUAAAAAUCUUA